AUUGAACGCUGGCGGCAGGCCUAACACAUGCAAGUCGAGCGGAGCGGCGGACGGGUGAGUAAUGCAUAGGAAUCUGCCUGGUAGUGGGGGAUAACGUCCGGAAACGGGCGCUAAUACCACAUACGAUCAGCUGAGCCUAGGUCGGAUGAGCUAGUUGGUGGGGCAAAGGCCUACCAAGGCGACGAUCCGUAACUGGUCUGCGAGGAUGAUCAGUCACACUUGAACUGAGACACGGUCCAGACUCCUACGGGAGGCAGCAGUGGGGAAUAUUGGGCAAUGGGCGAAAGCCUGAUCCAGCCAUGCCGCGUGUGUGAAGAAGGUCUUCGGAUUGUAAAUCACUUUAAGUUGGGAGGCGUUACCAACAGAAUAAGCACCGGCUAACUUCGUGCCAGCAGCCGCGGUAAUAC
rnacentral:rRNA from 1 species